ensembl:miRNA
AGGGAGGGACAGAGGCAGCAUGUGCAUCAACGCGCGACUUACUGCACUCUAGGCUCCCACC